GGGCUCACUUCAGCAGCACAUACAUUAAAACUGGAACGAUACAGAGAUUAGCUUGGUCCCUGGGUAAGGAUGACACAAAAAUUCAUGAAACUCAAGAGAACUCC
ensembl:snRNA U6 U6 spliceosomal RNA